AGCGAACGUUAGCGGCGCGCCUAACACAUGCAAGUCGCACGAGAAAGGGGCAACCCCGGUACAGUGGCGCACGGGUGAGUAACACGUGGAUUACCUGCCCUGGAGUGGUGGAUAACCUGCCGAAAGGUGGGCUAAUACAGCAUGAGACCACGCAGUUUCGACUGUGAGGUCAAAGCGGGCUGAUGUUUACAAGCUCGCGCUCUAGGAUGGGUCCGCGGCCCAUCAGCUAGUUGGUAGGGUAACGGCCUACCAAGGCAACGACGGGUAGCUGGUCUGAGAGGAUGAUCAGCCACACUGGAACUGAGACACGGUCCAGACUCCUACGGGAGGCAGCAGUGGGGAAUCUUGCGCAAUGGACGAAAGUCUGACGCAGCGACGCCGCGUGGGUGACGAAGGCC
rnacentral:rRNA from 1 species